CACGUAGGCGGAUGGGUAAGUCAGAUGUGAAAUCCCGGGGCUCAACUUCGGAACUGCAUUUGAUACUGCCCGUCUUGAGUGUGGUAGAGGGGGAUGGAAUUCCCGGUGUAGAGGUGAAAUUCGUAGAUAUCGGGAGGAACACCAGAGGCGAAGGCGAUCCCCUGGGCCAUUACUGACGCUGAGGUGCGAAAGCGUGGGUAGCAAACA
rnacentral:rRNA from 1 species